CAGAGUGUGCCUAUUACAAUAAAGUCCCAUGUGACCCUAAGCCACUCCUCUUUCUUUUGCUGCUGCAGCCUCAGAUAAGUACAAAAAUUUUUGUUCCUCCUCUGUUUCUGACAGUUACAUAUUUUGCUGUUUCAGUCAGAUUACCUUUAAAUCCUUUAUUUCUCUCAGGGUUUGGAUGUGUUAAUAUUCUUCUUGUUUUUUCUUCC